GAGAAAAGUCCACAGUUGCGAUAUUUGAAUAAUAUGUACACUAUACAUAAUAAACAAUUAACAUACACAGAGCAAUGCAAUACAACACAGAUUUUAUACUGUAUAUUGUCGGGAGGCAUAUUAGCAAAAUAACAUUUGCUGUGAGUAGCAAUUAACACCGACAUUUAUGGAUAGCUUUCAUUUUAUUUACAUUAGCUAUUUUUAUUAUGUACAUUUUUAUCCGAUGUUGGCAAACAUACAGUUUGAUUCUAAGAAAAAAAGGAUAACUUAAAUACAGCCGCAAAAACAUAAACAUAGAAAGGCAGUAUAGUAGCGAGUAGCCCGUUCCGGGAAUAAUUUAUUUGUUUGUUCGCGCUUUAGAGUAACGAGUGCAAAAAAGAACACCUGAAGACGAACUCGUGACAGCAAUUAUCGGAUAAAAUUAAGCUAAAGCCGUAAAGGAUGGAACGUACCGUUAAAGCGCCAGGUAAACAGCGUAUGGGGUGCCAUCGUAUCUACCUGUUUCGACUGGGAGGUUAUGGUUAGCUGUUCUGAUUUUGAACAGGCUACUUCGCUCACGCUGAGGCAAAAGUGUAAGAUCCGUAGGUCAGAAUAGGGAGCACAGUGUGGUCAAAGAGCUUUAUAAUGAGGUCGCUUGGGAGGCUGGCAUUGUUUGCCCUUGUGAAAAGGAACGUUUGAAGUGCUGUGUUGUGAAAAAUGGACUGUCGUUCGCUGGUUAUAAAUUCAACUGUUUCCUUGGAUUGAGGGUUACGCAGAGCGCCUAUCCCCCCUUGGGCCUAUUUGUGAGAGUUCGAGGGAUUUGCACAGCUCGUGUUCAGGGGAUCCAAAUGAGCAUCGUUUUCAUUAGUGUUUGUGUGAGCAGUUUGGAGAGUUCUGGAAUUAACACCUGCUGCAGAUCGAUCAGUGUUUGUUUGGGUGUUCGUUGACUUUGAAGUCCAUGGGCGCUGGAAAGCGGAUUCCCCCGAGGCGGACGAUCUUUGGUUUAUCGGGGCGUGUGUGCGUCUUCUUGCUGGAGCAGGAGAUUCAGAUUGAGGACGCCUGGAAAUGUGUAUAUGUCCAUUUGACGAGGAGGUUAUUUUGUUGGUGUGGAUUUCCUGGACUGUUGGAUUUGGGGCUCCUUCAUAGUGCUCUAUGGACUGUGUAUUGUGGAUUUGACUGUGCUGUGUGACUUGUAGUGUGGGCAUCUCAUCGCCAGAAGCGGACUUAUGGUUCCCUUCAAAUUGUUAGGAUUUUGAACUAAGUGAUUUUGGACUAUAGUUGCUGUUUGGAGAAUAGUUGUGCUGCGUGGCAUGUGGAAUGGACGUCUCAUCGCCAUAAACGGAUUUGUGGUUCACUUCGUAUUGGUGGGGUUUCAAACUAAGUGAUUGGUGACUAUAGUUGCCAUUGGUCGUGAUUCUGUCGCCAUUUAGGACUUGGCUCCAAUCAGGGAACAUGUCUGCCACGACACGACCAUCUGCCAAUAUCUUUGCUGGGAAGACAAUGCUUAUUUUGCUCUUUGGAUGCAUACCACGAAGUCUUUUGAGCUCUGGCCACAGAGUUUUGCGAGCAUUUACAAUCUCUUUUGGGAAGUCUCUAUUUAUGUGAAAAUUUGUCUUUCUUAAUUUAUUUGCAUUUGCCAAUAUAAGCUCUGUGUCUCUAAAGUCAAGGAAAUAAACGAUGAUAGCUCUUGUAGAAUUUGAGCGGAAUCUACCUAGCCUGUGACAGGGCUUCCCCUGGCUCAAAAAUUUCUUUAGCCAACAAUUUAGCCAAUUGGAUUUUUUUGUAGCCAAAUUUUAGAAACUGUAGCCAAAGUGUGUGCUCUAGGGAUUGCAGGGCAUGGGUCAAUUUGGAGUUUGUCUUUCAGGAACCUGGCAAUUAAAGAAUGGCAGUUUUCACCUUUCAUUUCAUCUAUGCCACCUAUAAUUAGGUUAUUUCUCCGGCUUCUUGCUUCUAAAUCAAUUGACUUAUAUUCGAGUAAUUUCAGUCUCACAUCAUGUUGGUAUACUGAAUUUUCUAUAGAUUUCACUUGAUUGUGUAAGCUCAGACAGUCAUCAACUUUCUGUUCAAUACAGCUCAUCCGUGCAAACAUUACACACAGUUUAUCAUCAGUAUUUAGGCUUCCAUAUUCAUGUUGUGAUAUUGAAUGCUCCUCACCUUGAGUACUUUGACUGCCCGUGUUUACUCGUGCCCGUUUUCUUGAGUCGGCCAUUCCUUUGUUUGCUAGAACGUUAAACUGGUUUUCUGUCACAAACACGUCAUACUCACUGUUAUUGUACAAGUUUUUAUUGCUUGAAUGAUCCAUUGUUGCACAUCUUAUUUAAUGCUAUUAAAAUAUUAUAAAACGUU